GGACCCCCAAGAAGGUUCUGAGAAGAUUUUGGGACCCCCAAGAAGGUUCUGGGGGGUUUUAAGAACUUUGAGAAAGUUCUGAGGGGUUCUCGGGGUCCCUCUGGAAGGUUCUGGGGGUUCUUGAGUCCCUCAGGAAGCUGUGAUGGGUUUGGGCUCCUUCUGGAAGGUUCUGGGAAGCUGUGAUGGGUCUGGGAUGCUCUGGAAGGUUCUGGGAAGCUCUGGAAGGUUCUGGGAAGCUGUGAUGGGUCUGGGGAUUCUCUGGAAGGGUCUGGGAAGCUGUGAUGGGUUUGGGCUCC